GGACUCCCAAACGCUGUCUGAUUCUACUACUACCCGAUUUGUACCGGAGGAGCAUAGGCGGCUGCAUCAGGCCGGCUGUCCUUGCCGCCGCUGCGGGUCUCGUCUCCUGUGCGGUGCACCGGGGUUCCCGUGCAACGACCGCCGACGAGACGAGGGAGGCCGGUGCCAGGAGCGAUGAGGCGCCCUGCGGCCAUGAAUCCAUCUCCAGCGUCGGCGACUCGGCGUGCUGCUGGAUUCAGCCUACUCGCGCAGGGCAGGGUGGAGUGGAGAUGCACCGCCCGCCGCGUCGCAUACGUUGACUAUUGUAGCAGGAGAAGGGGCCUCCGUGGCCCCGUGGAUCGGAGGAGCACAGCCGGAGUUGCUGCCUGCCUGCGGUUUGUCGAGCGACCGACAGGUUUCGUUUGCAAUUUAAUAGGCCAAGAUGAUGAAUGUUGAAGCAAUGUGCAUUAUUGGAAACAAGUUGCCUCCUGAUGUCAAGAUUUGCCAGAGUGUAUCUUCCAUUGAAACCACUGUUGCAAAACCGGGACUUGCCAGAGCAUGUCUUUCGCUGAAACUAGUAGCUUCAAAGUCCCCUUCUACCACUAAAUUAGGUUUGAUUUUCAUGAGCACAUGCUACCAUUUACAAUAUGAAUUUUCAUUCUGUACCAUGAGAAAAAUAAGUCAUACUGUCCAAGCAUGCAGAGUCGUUGUCGCUGGGCUUAACCUGCUCCAUGCUAUAUGCUAUACUUAAUAUGGCUAUACCAUUUAUCAUUGUAGUGUUCUGAUUCUUAUUCAGUACCUUGUUAGUAUUUGGCAGGAGAAAUGGGGCGCGCCCGGAUUCGAACUAUACUCUCCCUGAUUCACAGGAGGUGCAACUAGUCAAUGUGCUAGGCACGUGCUUGUGACAAAUGAGAAGGGAGGUGUUUCUUAACUCAAAGCAAGUCGGGUUUUUCACUAGUUAUUCUUUUUUUUUCAAUUUUUUUUGCUUUUUCUCCGUUUUUCUCCCUUUUCUCCAUUUUUUGUGUUUCUUAUGUUUGUUUUUGUUUUCAUUCUUCAUUUUUCGUAUAUGCCCAAAACAUUUUUGUAAUAAGUGAUUAACUUUUUUUGCAUACACGUUCAACAUUGUCCGAACGCUUAUUUAACAUUUUUCAAAAACUUUUCAAUAUUUUCAAAAACUUGUUCAACAUUUUUCAUACAAAAAUAAAGCAGAAAAUGAUAACAGAAAACAGAAAAAACAAUAGGCCGUGGCUCUCCGCGGCUGGGCCGGCCCGUCUAGGACGCUGAACGCGAGAAAAUUAGCAGCCCCCUGCCGCCCGUGCCGGCCCGUUUAGUUGCCUUUGUGCCUCGCAGAUCCCGAACCGCCCCGCCGCCACUCGCUCACAUCCCAUUCCCCCCGCGAGCCGGAAAGCCCUAGCCCGCAGGAGCCGCCGCCGCCUCCUCCUCCUCGCAGGCUCUCCGUCACGCUCGCCCCUCUCCGGCCAUGGAUGAUUCUCUCUACCCGGUCCUGUCUGUGUUCACCCUCUUCGUCCGCUUGACGCCUGCAGCACCCUUCUCGUCGGUACCUCUCUGAUUCUUUCACCUCCACAUCUCUCUCCGCCGGGUACAAAGAUGGCGCACCAGAGGAGGAUAUCACAGUUUGGCAGCGUUAUAACAAAUUACUGUUGGAUGCUGUUGGCAUCUUCGGGUUUCUUCUUAGGCGUAUUCGCAGUGACUACUAUUGCCCCUGUACAUCCUAGAUUGAUGAUCCCUGUUCCUGGCACAGCUGAUUGUUCUACUGCUUGUCCCAUUGAUUGUGUUUGCUCACCAUCCACAUCAACAACGGUUGCGGAUAGGCUGAAAUAUGAUAUUGCUAUCUGGAAUAGGUUUCUUAUUGCGUUCUGUCUAUCAGCAGUGUACUUUGUGUUUUUGGCAAAGCAACGUGUGGACGCUGCUGCCAAAGCUGAGGACAGGGCAGCCAGCGACGAGGACAAAGCCUACAAGUCCGCUCUUAAGGAUCUGAGUGCGCCGCGUACUGCCGUCAAAGAAGCCGCAGAAGCCCACGCACUGGCUCUUGAGAUGUUCCCCCCUCCUGCAGAAGGUGCUUUGGAUCCCCAUGUCAUUGCUGCCGAGAAGACCCAUUGUGAUGCUGUUCGAGCGUUUAUGAGCGCCACGGAGGAGGCUGAGAAGAAAAGACCCAUAGUUGGUAUUGCUCGAAUGGGUGAUGUGGAAAGGAGGAUUGUGCGUGGACUCUUUUUCCUAUCUGUUCUUGUCAAUAUGGGCGCCGGAAUAUGCGCAGCCGGUGCAUUCUUCCGUUCUGUUGAGCUGCAGAUGGGAAACCCCGCAGAGUUUGGUACACUUGUAGUGUUUGCAGUACCGGGAGUCCCAAUGAUCGUGUCACAUCUCUUUUGCCUCUUCGUGGCUGUGAAGGAGGACUAGAAUGGAGAUGGCGAAGCACGCAGUGCAGGCAGCUUGUGUUUGGUAGGAUCCCUGAUUUGUUCCUGGAAGGUGCUUUGCGUCGGCACCCAAGCUACAUGGCUCCCCGAAUGUCUUGACGCUGAUCUUGUUUUCUUAGCUGGUUGAAAAAACGCUGUUAUGCGCAUUAUCUGUAAUAAGUAUUCUGCUGCAGCUACUGUCUGGUUGUAGCCGAGAGCUGUUUGAACUGAUAUUGGUCGGCUGUGCCUUGUGUAAUAAGUAUUCUCCUGCAGCUACUGUCUGGUUGUAGCCGAGAGCUGUUUGAACUUAUACUGGUCGGCUGUGCCUUGGCUGUUUUAACAAGUUGGGGCUGGGGCGAGACCCCUUUGAAUUUUCACUACCAAUAUACUGUGGGUUGUGGAUAAAGGUA